rnacentral:rRNA from 1 species
GACGAACGCUGGCGGCGUGCUUAACACAUGCAAGUCGAACGGAAAGGCCUCUGCUUGCAGAGGUACUCGAGUGGCGAACGGGUGAGUAACACGUGGGUGAUCUGCCUUGCACUUCGGGAUAAGCCUGGGAAACUGGGUCUAAUACCGGAUAGGACCAUGCUUUAGUGUGUGUGGUGGAAAGUUUUUCGGUGCAAGAUGAGCCCGCGGCCUAUCAGCUUGUUGGUGGGGUAAUGGCCUACCAAGGCGACGA